AAAAGAAAGAAGAAUUGUUAGAGGAGAGAUGAAAUUCAUUAAUACUGACAAGACUGGUAACAGCGAAGGCAUUUUUCUAUGUAAAAACUGACGUUGAGGGACGAAGCCUAGGGUAACGAUAAGGAUUAGAUACCCUAAUAGUCCUAGGAGAAAAUUAUGAAUGCCAUAGGCUAGAAAUUUUGGCCUAUAAAUGAAAGUGAAAGCAUUUCACCUUACAAGUAAAGCGGCAACGCCGAAACUGAAAUCAUUAGACCGUUACUGAAAACAGUAGUGAAGUAUGUUGUUUAAUUCGAUGGUCCGCGAAUAACCUUACCACAAUUUGAAUAUUAUUAAAUUAUUACAAGUGCUGCACGGCUGUCUUCAGCUUAUGUCGUGAGAUUCUGGUUAGAUCCAUUAAUAAGCGAAAACCCUUACUUUAAUUUGUAUAGAGUAAUAAUAGGUCUAAUCGACCUAUUAUUACUCUUUAUCCAUAGAGUAGUUCGCCACUAUAUUGGUAAGAUAAGAGGGAUUAAGACAAGUCAUCAUGGCCUUAAUAUUGUGGGCUAUAGACGUGCCACAUUUGCCUUUACAAAGGGAUGCGAUAUUGUGAAAUGGAGCUAAUCCUU
rnacentral:rRNA from 1 species